AGAAUCAACGCUGGCGGCGUGCCUAACACAUGCAAGUCGAACGAGAAAGUGGAGCAAUCCAUGAGUACAGUGGCGCACGGGUGAGUAACACGUGACUAACCUACCCUCGAGUGGGGAAUAACCUCGGGAAACCGGGGCUAAUACCGCAUAACAUCCACGGAUCAAAUGCGUAAGCAGCUUGAGGAGGGGUCGCGGCUGAUUAGCUAGUUGGCGGGUAAUGGCCCACCAAGGCAGUGAUCAGUA
rnacentral:rRNA from 1 species